AACGAACGCUGGCGGCGCGCCUAAUACAUGCAAGUCGAGCGAGAAGGUGUAGCAAUACACUUGUAAAGCGGCGAACGGGUGAGGAAUGCAUGGGUAACCUACCCUCGAGUGGGGAAUAACUAGCCGAAAGGUUAGCUAAUACCGCAUACGUUUCCGGAACUUCGGUUUCGGAAAGAAAGCAAUACCGUGGGUAUUGCGCUCCUGGAUGGGCUCACGUCCUAUCAGCUUGUUGGUGAGGUAACGGCUCACCAAGGCUUCGACGGGUAGCUGGUCUGAGAGGACGAUCAGCCACACUGGCACUGCGACACGGGCCAGACUCCUACGGGAGGCAGCAGUAAGGAAUAUUGCGCAAUGGACGAAAGUCUAGACGCAGCGACGCCGCGU
rnacentral:rRNA from 1 species